UUUGACCUUUUGAUUUUUUUUUGAGACAUAAGUUAUAUAUGAAAUUGUCGGCAUUGAACACCUAGGAAAAAAAAAUUGGGACCACAAUUCAUAAAUUUGGGAUUUAAAAAUCUUGCUAAUUGGGGCUCUUGGCCGUGUAGGUCCUUAAUGGCCCACACAAUUUUUGUGGUCAAUUUUAAUUAGUCCACCACUUGUGUGGGCCAUGAUCACUUGUACAAUAUAUGUGGACUUAAAAGAUGACCAAGAGCUCAUCUUUCUCUUAUUCACCACUUAGCAAAAUAUCAAGAAAAGUUGGAGAAACAACUCCCUCUAGCUCACGGCUAAGAGGAGGAAAAUCCAACUCCAUUUUUAGCCUUCCCAAAAAAAUAAUUCUUUGGCUCAAACCCACUAAUUAGAGGUCCCUAAGUAUCGUGGAAACAUCGUUGGAGCGAUCAAGUCAUACAUUUAAGAGAUGUGCAAACCCUAACUUCCUUGUGGGUUGAAGAACAAAGAUCGUGGGCAGCCCGAAGCCUAGUUUGGACUUAGCUUGAGUUGGAUCAUAUUGGAGAGCGUUUGAGGUACAGACGCACAGCCUGGUGAUCCACCGGUUUAGGACACCCCCUUCUGCUAUUCGGAGUGCUCCUCUCAUUCCGGAGCUUAUAUUUUUGGUAUAUAUAUUUGUUAGUGCAUUUAUAUAUAUUCGUUCAUGGGUACGGCGGGGCCCUGUCCUGUCAUAUGAUUCUGUCGGUCUGUUUAGAGGUCUGUGGACAUGUUUGUGGGUUAGGGUCUUCCUGUACGGAUGCGUGUAUAUGUUGUGUUUGGGCGAUCCCAUUCGCCGCGGCGGCCGGUCCGCAUAUGUUUACAUGUUGCUUUGUUGGCCGGUGUGGCCUUUGUUGGUAUUUUCUGUGCGCAGGGUUAUUUUGGAUAGUCGGUAAAACAAAGGAAACUCUGCCGAAAUUUUUCUGGAAAUUUUCUAAAUUUGAAAUAUAGCCUUGACGGCUUCUGCUAUAUACUUGAAUGCGUUUGAUAAAAUUUGAGAUAGCAUUUGAUAGAUGUGUUUGGGUGCCCAGAUCGGGUACUAGUCACGGCCUACGGGGUUGGGUCGUGACACUUAACACUGAUGGCAAUCAUAGCAAUGAUGAUUUUAUUGGAGCGUGAGGUAUUAUAAGAGAUAGUAAUGGUCAGAUCAUUAUGGCAUAUGCUAAAAACUUGGGAAAAGGAAGCAGUAACAUUGCAGAAGCAAAAGCUAUAAUUUAUGGUUUACAAUGGUGUACCUCACAAAGUCUUCAAAAUAUUAUUCUUGAAAGUGACUCCCUAGUCAUUAUCAAUAUGGUGAAGGGUAAGAGCAAUAUAGCCUGGCAACUUCAGGAUUCCAUUGAUAUUAUUAAACGGAUGCUCGCUAAGACAACCAACAUUGUUCAACAUUGUUAUAGAGAAGCGAAUCAAGUUGCGGAUGCAUUGGCCAAAAUAGAAGAAGAUGAAGAACAAUUCUAUGAUAGCAAGGAUCUGCCUAAUCAAGCUGCAGCGGCAUACUCAUUGGACAAAGAGAAUAUGGCCUCCAUAAGGCAUAAACAGAGGAGGAACAUACUUGUAUAAGGCCACUUUUUGUUGUUAGCUGUUUUUUAGAGUUGAGAAGUUUACUCUCUGUUUUGCUGGCUACAGUAAGCAGAUGGGCUUAUGUAAUUCUGCAGAGAUUUGCUCAUUGCUUUAACCUCUACCUUUUGUACAUCUUUUGUUGAUGAAAUAGAAGGUCACGCCUCCUUAAGGCGUAUAUUAUAUAUAUAAAUAAAUAAGCUAAUAUGAAAUGUAGUUAUCUUGAUUGGAAUAAAGUCAAAGUUUUCA